rnacentral:rRNA from 2 species
GAUGAACGCUGGCGGCGUGCCUAAUACAUGCAAGUCGAACGAGUUCUCGUUGAUGAUCGGUGCUUGCACCGAGAUUCAACAUGGAACGAGUGGCGGACGGGUGAGUAACACGUGGGUAACCUGCCCUUAAGUGGGGGAUAACAUUUGGAAACAGAUGCUAAUACCGCAUAGAUCCAAGAACCGCAUGGUUCUUGGCUGAAAGAUGGCGUAAGCUAUCGCUUUUGGAUGGACCCGCGGCGUAUUAGCUAGUUGGUGAGGUAAUGGCUCACCAAGGCGAUGAUACGUAGCCGAACUGAGAGGUUGAUCGGCCACAUUGGGACUGAGACACGGCCCAAACUCCUACGGGAGGCAGCAGUAGGGAAUCUUCCACAAUGGACGCAAGUCUGAUGGAGCAACGCCGCGUGAGUGAAGAAGGCUUUCGGGUCGUAAAACUCUGUUGUUGGAGAAGAAGGUCGGCAGAGUAA